ensembl:lncRNA
ACUGUUCCCGUCCAGGUGGAUGAACACACACGCUCAUACAUGGAAGCCACUGAGAAUCUUAGACACACACACAAACGUGAAGUUAAACCCUAAAGGCACACACAAACUUGAAUUCUAAAGAGUCACACAUGCACACGUGCAUGCACACAAAUACACACACAUACGCACGCACGCACUCACACACACAAACACAUCGUAAGGGCACACACCAACAGAUACACACAAAUGUGACCGGAUUCAGGAAGGUGGGCGUUUGGCGCUAGUUCCUACAUCACAGUAGGGAAAAUUUAGAAAAAAAGCUGUUGUAUAGCACACUGUAUUACUUAUACAACUAAUAUAUGGACAGGAAAUUAGACGGGAGUAGAAAUUAACGUAGGCAUUGUUUAAUGCAUUUCACAGGAAGAAUGUUCCAAGCAUUUCAGUGUAGGUAAGCAAGGGGGGUUACAGGUGCACUAAAGGGACAAAACUAGAUCAAUACACAACAUAUUCCUCCCCCUUUUGAUGACUCAGAAGGAAAAAGGAAAUAUUCACUGUUUUGCCUCGUGUUUUCUUUUUAAUAAUAAUAAGUUCUCUUAAUGUAAAUAAAUGAACUUUUCAGAAUAACCUUUACUGAACUAGGGAAAUUGGGUAGACUGCCUCAGUUCCCAGACUUAACCCUGGGGUGUAUUCUGCCACAAUGUCGGGGGUAGUCUGAACUAAAUAGUCAACCUGUCAGGGGGUCGUCUUUCUCUUGCAGGGUAAUGACGACAUACAGGUGAGUUUACAGUCACACUGUCUCUGAGUCUGAGUGGUGAUGGUGUAUGCCCAGACUGGGGUGUAACAGUCCCCUGAGUAGGCACUCUGGCUGGUUCAGGUGAGUCUGGAGCACCUUCCACAUUUGUGUGUUGCUGCAGUGGAUGCUCAGGUGAUGGCUCAUAGUCAUGGUAGGUCUCCAGUUGCUGAUCUUGGUUUGUCAUUUGACAGGAGUCUUCUCUGAGGUUGGUUCCUGGCAACAGUUGAUCCACGUGUCUCCACCAGAUUAUGUUUUCCAGUGUGUGAACUGUGUAGGACACAGGCCCUGUUUGUGCAGCCACUGUGGCUGGUAUCCACUUUGGACCUUUGCAGUAGUUCCGAGCAAAGACUCUCUCCAGCUAUGAAGCUUCUGUCUCUUGCUUUGCUCCGUCUCUCCACCUGUGCUCUCUGUUGAGUCUGUAAAAUCGAAUUAGUCUUUGGAGGUCUCAGGAGGUCGAGUAGCGUGCGAAGCUGUAUUUUCAUCAUGGCUGACGCGGGUGCCACUUUGGUUGUAGCGUGGGGAGUGUUUCUGUAGGUUAACAGGAAGGUGUUUUUAGGCGCUUAUUGAGGGAGCCGUUCCCUUGUGAUGAUUUUAAAGUUUGCUUCAUCGUUUGGACAAACCUUUCAGCGAGGCCGUUCGUUGGAGGGUGAUACGGCGCUGACUUGAUGUACUGAAUUCUAUUUGCUUCCAUGAAUGAACAGAACUCUUCAGACACCAGUUGGUGGCCAUUAUUGCUAAUGAGUUGCGUUGGCAAGCCGAAGUGACUGAAGAUUGACCGUAGCUCUUCGAUGGUUCUCUCCGCUGAGGUGCUCUUCAUCACUGUGACCGCCGGCCAUUUGCUGUGUGCGUCAACUACGACUAAGAACAUACGGUCAUCCAGUGGGCCUUCAUAGUCUAUGUGGACUCGUUGCCAAGGCUCCUCUGGGAAGUCCCAUGGUUGUAGUGGUACUAGCUGAGGCAUGUUCCUCAUCUUUUGACAUGCAGAACAUGACUUGACCUUGUCUUCGAUAGCUACGUCCAAACUUGGCCACCAAAAGUAGCUGGGUGCAAUCUUCUUCAUUCGCACCAUGCCACAGUGCCCUGAAUGGAGUUCUUUAAGCACUUGCCUCAAUGGUGGCGGUAUGAUGACUCGAGAACCCCAUAGCAAGCAUCCAAACUGAACUGUGAGCUCGUUUCUCCUCACUAGGUAAGGUUGUAGGUUGUCUGACAGCACUCCUUUUCCACGAGUGACCAUGUCCAGGACCUCAGACAUCACUGGAUCAGUGCGGGAAUACCUUUUCAUUUGGACAGAAGUAACUGGGGCGUCCGUCACUUCCUUGAAGUAGAAGAUUUCAGCCUGGGAGUGCUCAGUGUGUGUGACAGCUGGCUGCAAGCAACGGAAUGUCGGUGUGGGACCAAAGAUGGAGGUGAGGUGUUUAUGGUCCGUCAGCAGUGUGAAUCGUCGGCCAAACAGAAACGGAUGAAAUUUCUUAACUCCAAACACAAUGGAUGGCCACCCUGCUCAGCAAGUUCAGGAUAGACUUCUCCGACAUCAACGUACUAGGAGACAUCAACACCAAGCCCAAGAAAGAGAAUAAGGUGUUGUUUUUUGGACCUGGGAACUGAAGAGGCUACUGGAUUCCAUGUCUUGUACCGAUGAGUGUCUGAACUGUGUGCUAACUGCUUGAACAGACAGUUCGGUACCUUCAAAACAUCAGUACCUUGCACAAAGAACAAUAGUUAUGCAGUCAAUCUUUCCUCAACUUGAGCCAGGAGAGACUGACAUUUUCCCUCCAUCUACAUCUAAGUGUAAUAUGUGCUGCUCUGUUCUGGACCAACUGCAGGUGCUUUUCUUUCAAAAACAAGGACAUUUCUAAGUGACCCCAAACUUUUGAAAGGUAGUGCACAUAUUUCCUAUCUCCUUGUUUUGUCCAGUUGGAUCCUCUCUCCUCCCUUCAUAAGCUGAUUGCUGCGAUAAACAUUCAUUGCUGUCGGUGGGUUUGAUGUGAAUAUAACUCACUGAUCACUGAAUGAACACUGCGGUUCAAACACCUCGAGGACCAAUCAAUGAAGAGGACUCUAACGUGGAGGUUCAAUGUAUAGCCAAUCAGGGACAGAGGAGUAGUAACCACACUGCUUCGUGAGCUUAUGUCAAGGGUUUGCUCCUUAAAAAUACAGGCCUACUCUAAUACCCUACAUAACCUUGUCCUUAAGGGGCUCCUUUUAAACUACAAUGAAUUAGUUAGACUCCGGUACUAUGUCCAUUGAAACAGAGAUCAAAUGGUCCCUUAAUUUGAUCUAUUUGUAGGAUAGAAAACUGUUCGGUAGUUUAUUUUGCACAGAAUGAAUUGACAGAUAUUGAAUUUGGCCUGUCUAAAAUAUUGGUGCCUCUGUAGUUGAAUGAGUGUACCAAUAUCCCGGGCCAAUAUUUGAUGCAAUAUUUAAUUGAGCAUCCGCUUGAGCAACCUUUAUUUGUUGUUGCCAGUCAGUCUGCUAAAUGUAACCACGCUGGGAAUCAACAUUUUUCCACAUUCACAUUUAUUUUGUUUGGUAAAAAAAAAAAAUGUAAUAAUCAUUUCCAGUGGAAAGCAACAGCGGCGUUGUCUGGGAGCCCCCAAAUGGAAACCAGACCCAUACGGGGCCCUAGUAACACAGACACACAUGCGCACACACACACACAAACACAUACUGUACACACACACACACACACAUAUACGGUAGACACAAACACAUAUACACACACCCAAAGGGGCCUCAUUUCGUCUUUAAUCCAAGCUAACGCAGCCUACUGCUUCACACAAACUCACUACCCCCCCAUCCCCCAUCUCCCUCUUUUGUGGAUUAAUUUGGGGGGGGGUCAUUAAAAAACGAAAAAGACGAAGGCCGAUUUUGAUUGGAUAUUUUGUUAUUUUCUCGUUUACUUUUUGGGUAAAUAGGUCUAGCUACAGGCAUAGGACAUCCCUCGAUAGCCAGUUACAUCCAUUCAAGACGCUAAAUGUAUAUCCAAUCAAAAAUUAGACUCCGAAUAUCAAACCCCAAGGUAUGUCUGGUACCUUUCCUAACCCUCACAGAUAGCCAAACUCCUCCAUCCCCUGUGCCCACUCUCUUUCCAAUGAGAGAAUGUAGACUCCCAUCCUUCCAAGCCCCCAAUGUAGCCAAUUCCCACAGACAUUUUGACGGCAGGCAGCACAACAUUAUUCUCCCACCAUAGAGUCUAUAUCAGGCCCGAAACUUCCCACCUCCCCCUCAAUUCCCCCUUACUCCAGAUCUGUCUACAGUACAGCCUGGUUUACAUUAGAUGUGUGUAGCUCUGGGGGCUAUGAGAGAUACAGGAGUGGGACAGCAGGCCUUCUCAGGACACUAAGGUCUGACUCCUUUAUAAUAGAGUCCAGAGUACAGAGACAUAUAGAUAGGGUUAGCACACACACUUCCUGUUGAAUGAGUGAAUGAAGGGAUGUGGGAAUAAGGGAGAAAUAAGUGAAGAGAGAGACAGAUUUUUCAAUGCGUUAUCUAAAUGCAGUCAAUUGUUUCACUGGAGAAAAAUACACAAUUUCAAAACGGAUUGGACAAUGCAAUUGGGCAUUCGACUAAGUAGAUGUGAAUUAACAUCUACUGCUUGACAUAAUCUUAUUAGCUUUUGUUUAGCUUUAUUAUAUUGUCUAUCCUAUGUAGUCUCACUAAAUCAAGACACUCAUGGGUUCAUUUGGAAUAAAUAAAAUAUAUAUUUGAUUGGACUCUAUUUGUGUCUUCUGAUGCUUUCAUUGGCCUGAGCUUCUGAAAUGUGUGUUUUACACAAAGUGUAACUGUUCCAUAUUACCCAGUCCACAACAUGACUGCACUGGUUUUUUGGGGGGAUUUCUGAGACGAUAAAAUCUCUGCAUUUUAAAAUUUCAAACAGUCAAUUGUAUCUCAUGGCGAAAUGCAUAGCACAUAAAAUAAAAAAGGUUUGACCAGAUAUUGUUUAUCUUGAUCAGACAGGUUUACAUGGACGAUAUAUUGGAGAUAAUAUACAACAAUUACUUGAACCAUUUGAACAUUAUGAAACAUCGAAGAUACCAGGCCUGGUCUUCAUAGCAGAUUUUGAAAAAGCGUUUGGUAAAGCACGACUCAAAUUUAUAUAUAUAUGCCGGGAUUACUUUAAUUUCGGUGAAUCUCUUAUAAAAUGGGUUAAAGUUAUGUACAGGAACCCCAGAUGUAAAAUGGUAAACAAUGGGUACUUCUCAGAAAGUAUUCAGUGUUAAAGAGGAGAAAAACAAGUCUGUCUGUUGGAUCCAUAUCUAUUUAUUAUGGCCAUUGAAACGUUAGCAAUUAAAAACAAGUGUCAAUGAAUGCCGGUCUCAUUGAAGAUCUUGAUCACUUUUCUAGCCUCUCUGGACUAAAACCUAAUUAUGACAAGUGUACCAUAUUACACAUUGGAUCGUUAAAAAAUACAGUGUUUACAUUACCUUGUAGUUUACCAAAAUAUAAAUGAACUGACCACAAUUAGUUUCAGUAGAAAGUUAGCAAAAAUAGAUAAGAUUCUGCAACCAUGGAGAGGUAAAUACUUGUCUAUUUAUGGAAAAAUCACAUUGAUUAACUCUUCGGUCCAAUCACAGUUUACUUACUUACUAAUGGCACUACUCCAGAUUACUUGUUUUUUAAAUCAUACGAGCAAAAAAGAUUUCAUUUUAUUUGGAAUGCAAAACCAGACAAAAUUAAACGUGCCUAUUUAUGUAAUGAAAAUACGUUUGGGGGAUAAAAUUAUUAAAUAUUAAAGCUUUAAAUCUCUCACUAAAAGCUUCACUCAUUAAUACAGUUGAAGUCGUAAGUUUACAUACACCUUCGCCAACUACAUUUCAACUCAGUUUUUCACAAUUUCUGACAUUUAAUCCUAGUAAAAAUUCCCUGUUUUAGGUCAGUUGGGAUCCCCACUUUAUUUUAAGUAUGUGAAAUGUCAGAAUAAUAGUAGAGAGAAUGAUUUAUUUCAGCUUUUAUUUAUUUCAUCACAUUCCCAGUGGGUCAGAAGUUUACAUACAUUAGUAUUUGGUAGCAUUGCCUUCAAAUUGUUUAACUUGGGUCAAAUGUUUCCAUAGUUAAGUCAAUAAAUAAUAAAAUAAUACUCGUAGGAAAGAUUUUCAUCUUUAGCUCACAAUCUGUGGAUACUAUACGAUUAGAAAGGUAAAACAAUUAUGUAAAACAUCACAGCACAAUUAAAAAAUAAAUGGCACAUGGAAACGAAACAAGGGUGGUCUAUGGUGAGAUGGGCUGAGACUGGCUGAUGUUUGGUAUGUUUUGCAUUAUUAUUAUGUGACUGCUUUAUAUAAAAGUACCAUGUAUGAAAAAUGUGUAUGUAAAAUGUAUAUGUCAAAUGUGUAUGCUAAACCAGACAAAAUUAAACGUGCCUAUUUAUAUAAUGAAAAUGUAAAAUGUAUGUAUAUGUAGCAAAAAGCUGUAAAAGAAAAGAAAGAAAGAUAUUUGUCCUCCGAAGAGGGGAGUUGUUGGAGGGGUGAAAAAAUAUAUAGAUAAAAAAGAAAGGAAAGAAAGAAAAAGAAAGAGACCUGGAAAGACGGAGACAGAGGGUGAGAGUUCUCGUGCAUGCUCCUGGUGGCGAGUACACAAACAGGCCUGUGACAUGCAUUAUGGGCAGCGGGGCACGCACAAUGGCGUGGUUGUCAUGGGUUUGACAUCAUCGAGAGGAGCACAGUUGUCACUGGGAGAAGAGGGCAAGAAGAGAGAUUGCUGGUUGGGACGCGCCCCAAAUGGGCACCGUCCCAAAACACCAACCAGAUCGUCACACUAAAGUGUAUACACAGGAAGUAGGCUACACACAGAACAGAAAUAACAAACACCACACCCCAAAAAAUAUUUGACUUCCAUACAAAUAGAGGAAUACUGGGGUUCUUGGAGCUCUACAUUCAAUCAAAAUGGGUCAGUACAAAAUGACCCCGUUUAUAAUAAUAGAAUGCUCAUUUGAAUAUGGAUUCCAGGGGAGCAACUUCACUGGGGACGAGGGGUCAUGAUCCCCCCCCCACACGCACAUUCUAAAAAUGUAUGUUUUGUCCCCCCCCAGUUUUAUAAUUGCAUUGUGAUAUGCUGUGUUUUAGGACCAUGUGAACGCCUCAGGGCGGUCGGGUAGGCUGUGUGAAGGCAAAGCUUCUGAAAGGCUGGUGUAUAGGACCAGCACGGGAGAGAUGCUCAGAGGCAGCUGCUGUCUGUGUUGCACCUUUUCUCUAGGUUUUAAAAGCAAGCAGAGCAGAAACAAGCUUCUCUUUAGUUGACAAGGGGACAAAAGCAUUUAUGCCCAGUUCUGAGUUAGUAGUGUAAGUGACAUGUUACGUUUGCCAAUGUUUCAUCCCCUCUUGACUGAAGUGAAUGAACUAUUAACAGCUAGUUAGCUAGCUAGUAGCUACUACAGCCAGUUCAGCUCGAGCUAUCCUCUAGCUAUCUGUCAGGUAGCAGUAUCUAACAGCUGUUGUGUGUCUGGAAAUUAUUUGUAGCCUUUGUUUUGGGCCAUUUCAAC